rnacentral:rRNA from 1 species
GACGAACGCUGGCGGCGUGCUUAACACAUGCAAGUCGAACGGUAAGGCCCUUCGGGGUACACGAGUGGCGAACGGGUGAGUAACACGUGGGUGAUCUGCCCUGCACUCCGGGAUAAGCCUGGGAAACUGGGUCUAAUACCGGAUAGGACCACUGCCUGCAUGGGUGGUGGGGGAAAGCUUUUGCGGUGUGGGAUGGGCCCGCGGGCUAGCAGCUUGUUGGUGGGGUGAUGGCCUACCAAGGCGACGACGGGUAGCCGGCCUGAGAGGGUGACCGGCCACACUGGGACUGAGAUACGGCCCAGACUCCUACGGGAGGCAGCAGUGGGGAAUAUUGCACAAUGGGCGCAAGCCUGAUGCAGCGACGCCGCGUGAGGGAUGACGGCCUUCGGGUUGUAAACCUCUUUCAGCACCGACGAAGCGCAAGCGACGGUAGGUGCAGAAGAAGGACCGGCCAACUACGUGCCAGCAGCCGCGGUAA